rnacentral:rRNA from 1 species
UGGGGAAUAUUGCACAAUGGGCGCAAGCCUGAUGCAGCCAUGCCGCGUGUAUGAAGAAGGCCUUCGGGUUGUAAAGUACUUUCAGCGAGGAGGAAGGCGUUGUGGUUAAUAACCGCAGCGAUUGACGUUACUCGCAGAAGAAGCACCGGCUAACUCCGUGCCAGCAGCCGCGGCAAUACGGAGGGUGCAAGCGUUAAUCGGAAUUACUGGGUGUAAAGCGCACGCAGGCGGUCUGUCAAGUCGGAUGUGAAAUCCCCGGGCUCAACCUGGGAACUGCAUCCGAAACUGGCAGGCUAGAGUCUUGUAGAGGGGGGUAGAAUUCCAGGUGUAGCGGUGAAAUGCGUAGAGAUCUGGAGGAAUACCGGUGGCGAAGGCGGCCCCCUGGACAAAGACUGACGCUCAGGUGCGAAAGCGUGGGGAGCAAACA